rnacentral:rRNA from 1 species
GAGAGAAGCUUGCUUCUCUUGAGAGCGGCGGACGGGUGAGUAAUGCCUAGGAAUCUGCCUAGUGGUGGGGGAUAACGUUCGGAAACGGACGCUAAUACCGCAUACGUCCUACGGGAGAAAGCGGGGGAUCUUCGGACCUCGCGCCAUUAGAUGAGCCUAGGUCGGAUUAGCUAGUUGGUGAGGUAAUGGCUCACCAAGGCGACGAUCCGUAACUGGUCUGAGAGGAUGAUCAGUCACACUGGAACUGAGACACGGUCCAGACUCCUACGGGAGGCAGCAGUGGGGAAUAUUGGACAAUGGGCGAAAGCCUGAUCCAGCCAUGCCGCGUGUGUGAAGAAGGUCUUCGGAUUGUAAAGCACUUUAAGUUGGGAGGAAGGGUAGUAACCUAAUACGUUGCUACUUUGACGUUACCGACAGAAUAAGCACCGGCUAACUUCGUGCCAGCAGCCGCGGUAAUACGAAGGGUGCAAGCGUUAAUCGGAAUUACUGGGCGUAAAGCGCGCGUAGGUGGUUCAGUAAGUUGGAAGUGAAAUCCCCGGGCUCAACCUGGGAACUGCUUUCAAAACUGCUGAGCUAGAGUACGGUAGAGGGUGGUGGAAUUUCCUGUGUAGCGGUGAAAUGCGUAGAUAUAGGAAGGAACACCAGUGGCGAAGGCGACCACCUGGACUGAUACUGACACUGAGGUGC